CUUCCCAGCUGACCAGGAACUGGGGCUGGAGCUGUUCUGUGUAGCCUCCAGCCCCAUUCCCAGCUGUCCUCCGGGUGCUUUCCCAGAAACCUCUCUGUCCUGGAAAGUCUGGAGAUGAAAGAAUCUCCCGGGCUGUAAUCACAAUGCCCAGCCCCAGGAAUUCCAAAAUUGCCCUAAAUGCAGAGGAAAGCAAUUAUAGCAAUUGGGCUGCUGAUGUACUUCCCAAAUUUGUCCCGUGACUAAGGGGAGUUCUCGAGGAACUGCUCCGACCUCCACAAUGGGAAUAUAAAAAUGGUCCCAACCCCGGUGCUCCUCACACAGCUCCUCUUGGUUUGCUCUUCCCACUGAACUUGGCUCACCUCCACCCUCCCACCCCACCAUGUCCUGCUGCUACUCCCCGCGCUGCUACACCCUGUGCUGCUCCCCCUGCUACCGCACCUACACCCGCAGCUACAGCUGCAACCCCUGCAUCAGCCGCACGCUGAGCUGCUGCCGCCGCUCCUACGGCAGCUGCUGCACCUCCCGCAGCUGCACCACGCGCUACUACUACCCCUCGUGCUGCUCCUACUCCUGCUGCUACCCCUGCUGCUGAUCCCAGGGGAAAAUCCCCGCCAACGGACCCGCGCCCACGGAAGACGAACGGAUGAGCCCGCUGUUGAUGUUUGCACAAUCGCGGAGCCCCCGCGGUGAAGUCACCACCAGUGGGGGCUUUGCUGUGCUCUGAAACCUCUUGGAAUGUCUGGGUUUUGUUGUUGUCUCUGUCUCCUUCUUCCUGCCUUUCUCAACUCUCCUGAUAUUCUGCAUUUAAAGCCUCCCACGGCCCCUUCAGCAACGGGAGGGGCCAUCUGCAAUUCAUGUGAAACUUCUCGGAGUUGCUGCAAUGGGGCUAGAGGACCUCUGUGAAAUUAGAUUUGGUGUCAUCUGCAUUUUCAAUAAGCGCUUCCAGCACAGCUCUGCAGCCCUGGGUGAGGGAGCAUUACGGCUGUCUCGCCUUUGAUCUGCCUUUACGAGGACCUGAAGGAUGAACAACACAGCUUCAGCAAAAAGGAAUGUUCUGGAGAGCAGUGAAUCAUCUCCCAGAGCUGCCUCCAGCAUCUCAAAACUAUAAUCUUUCUGUAUCUGUGCCAGCUCUUUUUCUUGUUCUAUUAAACACUUUCUGCAUUUGAAAAAAAACCAAA